rnacentral:rRNA from 1 species
UAGGGAAUCUUCCGCAAUGGACGAAAGUCUGACGGAGCAACGCCGCGUGAGUGAUGAAGGUUUUCGGAUCGUAAAACUCUGUUAUUAGGGAAGAACAAAUGCGUAAGUAACUGUGCGCAUCUUGACGGUACCUAAUCAGAAAGCCACGGCUAACUACGUGCCAGCAGCCGCGGUAAUACGUAGGUGGCAAGCGUUAUCCGGAAUUAUUGGGCGUAAAGCGCGCGUAGGCGGUUUCUUAAGUCUGAUGUGAAAGCCCACUGCUCAACCGUGGAGGGUCAUUGGAAACUGGGAAACUUGAGUACAGAAGAGGAAAGUGGAAUUCCAUGUGUAGCGGUGAAAUGCGCAGAGAUAUGGAGGAACACCAGUGGCGAAGGCGACUUUCUGGUCUGUAACUGACGCUGAUGUGCGAAAGCGUGGGGAUCAAACA